rnacentral:rRNA from 1 species
UGGGGAAUUGUUCGCAAUGGGCGCAAGCCUGACGACGCAACGCCGCGUGGAGGAUGAAGAUCUUCGGGUCGUAAACUCCUUUCGAUCGAGACGAACGGCUUCCGGGUGAACAAUCCGGGAGAGUGACGGUACCGAGAGAAGAAGCCCCGGCUAACUCCGUGCCAGCAGCCGCGGUAAUACGGGGGGGGCAAGCGUUGUUCGGAAUUACUGGGCGUAAAGGGCUCGUAGGCGGCCAACUAAGUCAGACGUGAAAUCCCUCGGCUUAACCGGGGAACUGCGUCUGAUACUGGAUGGCUUGAGAUUGGGAGAGGGAUGCGGAAUUCCAGGUGUAGCGGUGAAAUGCGUAGAUAUCUGGAGGAACACCGGUGGCGAAGGCGGCAUCCUGGACCAACACUGACGCUGAGGAGCGAAAGCCAGGGGAGCAAACGGGAUUAGAUACCCCCGUAGUCC